UUAUAACCAAUCGAUCGAAUAUAAACCAUCAAAUGGACGUCAAAUAUUACUUCAACAAUAAUAAUAGGAAUUUUGCUUGCAAAUCUGCCUUGACCCCUUCAGCUUUUCGAGGCAGCCAAAAUCAUUUUUUCCAGACAUAUUUUGCUAUUUGAUAAUCCCUCAUAAAAUAUUAAUUUAAAGAAACAUAAGCCUUGGAUAAAAAACAGAUAUUUUUAUUCAAAUUGAAUAUUUACUUAGCAUUAAAAAUUCCUUAUUAAAUAUAAAUCAGACAUAAUUAUUAUUAUUUAAAAAAAAUAACGAGAAGCUAAUCUCCGUGAAACACACUACAAAUAUAUAAAUAACGCAACCAAGUUCCACGUUACAAUCAGUAUCAGCCCGACCAUGAACCACAUUAUAAUUAUAGGUCUUACCAUAACUUCUCUGUUGCAAACCACGUUUGCAGACGAUACCACUUUAAUUCCUGAUGACACCACAUUGAUUCUUGAUGAUACCACUUUGAUUCCUGAUGACACCACUUUCAUUCCUAAUGACACCACUUUAAUUCCUGAUGAUACCACUUUGAUUCCCGACGAUGAUAACAAUUGCGAAAUAUGGCCCUGUGCUGCCACCCUGUGUUUAAAUGUAUUCCCGUGCCCUCGUGGUACUACUUUGGUCGGCAGACGGGGCUAUUGUGGAUGUUGUAAUGAAUGUGUUACCCCACAGUUAGGUGAUCCGUGUUACGAAGACGGUAUUACUAGAUUGCCUACCUGUGGUAAACGGCUUAAAUGUGACAUAAGGACCAGGACUUGUGUGCAGAGAUGGAUAAAGUGGGAAAAAUAAUAUUAAUCAUGUAUGAUGAUUCACAUGCUCUUAUGUAUAUAAAUAUUAAUGUCUUAGAUGUAUUAUGUUAUGUGCCUAUGAGAGUAAACUAAUAAAGAUUAUAUAUACGCAA